GGAGGGAAGGUGAUUGGUCCGUUCACUGUGAAGAAGGGUUACUCAAAUCAACAGUACGAGUUGUUCCGUUACAUUUUCUCUAGCGCCAAUGAUCCGAGUGAAGUGUUAGCCCAUUUUGGGAAGGUUGAGGUCGAGCGGAUGUAUUUCAAAUGCAUGAAACCGGAGACCGAUAUAUCACACAGUCUCAUUGAUUGCUUUGCUCAAAUCAUGAAUUUUCGAGAGAAGAAGCGCAACGGCAUUGGAACUAAGAGAACUUGGUUUAUGCCCACCAGA